ACCUUUUCUUUGCCUUUUUGUUCCACAGGGACCCCCAGCCUACUGGAUGGUUUCUAAUCACCUUGAAGUUUCCGGCUGGCGAAGGAAUACCCAAGGAUUCCAUGACAAUACUUCAUAUUUCAAGCCUAUAACUUCAGGAUGAGCCAUGUGAUGUCAGAAGUGUGAUGUGCCAUGCUCCACUACAGACAGGAAGUGGAAUAGCCAGGAACUUGAAUCCAAGCCUUCUCAUGCCAAAAUUCUCCUUUGAUAAGUGAAGGGACC